UUUACAAACCACUAUAAAAUAUAUUUCCUUAAUAUAUCUAUUUUAUAAUUUCUUUAAAUGUCAUCUCUGAGACUCCAGAUAGUCAAACCUGAAGUGAAAAAUCUGCAGCCAGUGAUCUAAUAGAAAUGAUUCUUUGUUACACUUGUAGAUUAAGGGCUAGAUGUCACACACUGAGAAAAAUAUUUCAGCCGAAGCUGGUUUGGCUCAGUGGAUAGAGUGUUGGCCUGCGGACUGGAGGUCCAGGUUUGAUUCCGG